GGGUGAUUAGCUCAAUUGGUUAGAGCACUUGCUUGACGUGUAAGAGGUUGUUGGUUCGAGUCCAGUAUCACCCA
rfam:Neorickettsia helminthoeca str. Oregon, complete genome.